GGAGAAGUCGCCUAGCUUGGUCGAGGGCGCACGACUGGAAAUCGUGUAGACGCCAAACACGUCUCGAGGGUUCGAAUCCCUCCUUCUCCGCCA
rnacentral:tRNA from 1 species